GCCUUGGUGGUGGAAUUGGUAGACACGCGAGACUUAAAAUCUCGUGAUCAUUACGAUCUUGCGGGUUCAAGUCCCGCCCGGGGUA
rnacentral:tRNA from 1 species